rnacentral:rRNA from 1 species
UUACGGUCAAAUCACGUUGAAAACACCGGUUCUCGUUCGAUCACCGAAGUUAAGCAUCGUAGAGCCAGGUAGUACUUAGAUGGGGACCGCUUGGGAACACCUGGUACUGUAAGC